rnacentral:tRNA from 1 species
GGUAGCUUAAUGGUAGAGCACCCGACUGGCAAUUGAGAUCUCUGGGUUCAAGUCCAGGCC